UUUUUUUCUGAAUCAAGUUGUACCUACCAUCUUCGCAGUUACUCCCACUGGUCGAUAUUCAAUAUAAAAAACAAUUGAUGCUAGAUAUAUUGAAACAACUAAACACACUUGAUGAAGGACUUAGUCAGAGACACGAUUCUAAGAUGAAAUUGUGAUUAUCAUCUCUACAAAGCAUUAAAAACACACACACCCAAAAGCUUAAAAUAAAUGUUAAAAAGCACUCUUGAAACUCUCAACCGUUAUGUUGUUGAACCUGAAGUUACUGUCUGGACUCAGCUCCACGUAGUGUACCAAUCCAAGCAGGUGGCUGCAUCCCGGUCUGCUCAUAAACCGUAUCAAGAACCGGUGGCAACAUCUUGUAGAGUCCAGCAAUUUCCUUCAUACCACCACUACCCAUCCCCUGAUCAACACCAGCACCACCACCUUGGUUCCACACACUGAUCUUAGGCUGCAAGUCCCUGAUGGCCAAAGCAUUGGUCUUGGCGAUAUCCUGAUAAACCCCAUUGUUGAUCAUCAAAAAGUCCCUCAUCGCCGAGUAGUCAUUGUCAACCGCGUCCAGGAGAGUCUUGAUGUAAGUCCCUUGAGCAGUGGCCAUGGCCACAAGCCCAUCCGCAUCUCUCUGUUUAGCAUAGAAGGAAGCAUCAGCUGCAGCUUUAGUAGCCUCCGCUUGCUUCUGCUUCUCGUAAAGAACAGCUUCUGCCUUCUUCUGCUUGUCAGGAUCAGUUCUGUGCCAUUAAUAUAGGCUAUCGAAUAUAACUUUGUAGUAAUUUGGUUACACAAUGUUUGUUCUAUAUAGUUGAUCAUGUGUUUAUAUUCAUUAAGUUACAUGCAUACACUUGAAUUUCCCAUCUUAACAUUCAUUUUUUCUUGAUGUGGGUGUAUAUGAUCUAGAUGAUUGAUAGUGUCUUCAAACCGUUAGGUAGGUGUAUGUAAUUUAGUUAGGUUGUGGAAUCUAGCUUUGUAACUUUAUAUGGUUAGAUGUUGGGUCACACAUUGUUUGUUCUACUUUACCUUUUUCAAAAUUGCAGACUUUUUCUUUUAGAUUUUGACUGAGUUGUGUCUAUGUGAAUUGGAUGAUUGUGUAUUUUGGAUUAUAGCUGUGUGUGUUCAUUUGAUGUGCGCCUUACCUUCUUGGGUUGAUUAUCUAACUUUGUAAGCAUUAUAUGGCUUCUUCUAGCAAUUGGGUGAAUGUGGUCCCUCGGUGUUUGGUCUAAGUUAAGUUGCUAGCUGCUAUUUAUAUAUACACAUGAUAUUAACACCCCCACCAAACUUCAUAGAGUAGAUUUUGUGUUUAUAUUAGAUCUGGAGCAUGAUUGGGUAUGGUUGAGGGGGUUUACAUGGUUAUAGAAUCACAUCAAAGAAAUAACUAUAUAGUUCUUGUAAUGGUUUCUUUUAAUCAAAGUAAAGCAUAAUCCUUUACAAGAAAAAUGUGUGGCUUAUAAACUUUUGUGACCUACCACGUGAACUGCACAGACGAGGAGAGGAAUCUUCAGCUGCUUCAACUGCUGCGUUAAAGCUUGAAGGUUUUUUUUUAUAAUAGAGACGACGAUGAGAUGAAUCUUCAGCUGUUUCGAUUAUUUAUAAUAAUGAAGUGUAAUGGUAGAGUGAAACCAUUACACUUAUAUUUUUCUGCGGAAGCAGUAAAGUAUUAAUCAAGUUUGUCUGCCGUUUACUGUUAUCUUCCAGUGUCUAACUAUGUUUUUGGUAUUAAUUUGAAGUGUAGUUUAACUUUCCCAGAGAUUGAUGUUUUCAGUAUUGUGUAAUGCAGAGUAGAUUCUUUUGUACUUACUUUGAAUUGCGUUUGCCAUCUCUAACUAUCUAAGUAUCUGAUAAUCAAAACACAUAAGAUACGUUUACUACAAUCAUCCUCGUAAAGUCUUAAACUACCUUAACUAAGCUUAUUGGAGGCUAUAGUGUAAAUAGAGAAGUCACACUAAGAAAGAUGUACAUGUCCUCGUCUAUUUCUGAUGAAAACGAUUAUGAACAGUGAACAUUGAAAUUGAAUCAACAAAGUUGAUAUGGCCGAGUUGGUCUAAGGCGCCAGAUUAAGGUUCUGGUCCGAAAGGGCGUGGGUUCAAAUCCCACUGUCAACAGUUUUUUUUUUUUUUUCAUUACUCGUUAAAACAGAUCUUAUUAGUUACUACUGAUUCCACUUAUAAGGCUAUAACCCGUCGAUCUAAACCUCUCCUUUUGUUACUGGUCCAAAGUCAUCAAAGUAAAAUACAAAGCUUUACGGACAAGAUCUUAUCACAGGUUUUUGAAGAGAUACAGACUAUAACAAACUUGCUUUGAAGAUCGUGUGGCUGAAAGAACGAAACAAGAUAAGAUAAUGCUUUUUAGAUUCCCAGAGUUUGCAUUCGUUAGAACCCAUCAACUAUGAUCAGUGGGGGAAAAGUCGAAAACAAAAACGAAGUAAUUAAGUAAAAAGAGGUUAUUUUCGGAAUAACCGGUAGGCGGUUGUUUUGUGUUACGUUUUCUCCUCCCACAUCGGUUAGCUAGAAAAAGUUAGAUCUUCUAGCAAGUAUAAAUAAGAGGCCGUGUCACAUCGUUCAAUUUAUACCUUUCUCGGCCUUUUGGCUAAGAUCAAGUGUAGUAUCUGUUCUUAUCAGUUUAAUAUUUGAUAUAUGGGUCAUCGGCCCAUACGAUGUUAACUAUAUUUUUUCAGGGGGGAAGCCCAUCAAGAUAGCUUGCUAUCUGGGCUUUCGGGAGUUGCCCUUGCGUUGCACUACUGCACGGGCCUGGCUCAACCCAUCAAUCAAAUAGUCCAAUUUUUUUGUGUUUACUCCGAAAAGCACUGGUUCGUAUUUAGUUACAUGCCUGUUAGGGGUAAUAGGGCAUGUUUUGUUCUAAGGAAUACUGGUCACGGGUUGGCUAUGUUUGUAACUCGAAAAAGAGUAAUUGGGCCUUUAGUGAUAGCCCUAUAAGUUGGACGACGAGAGCAGAUCCUAUAUCAUUCAAAGCCCAUCACAUUGUAUAUAUUGACUUGUUUUCCUAUUAUGUUCAAAGUCUUGAAAUUUAGAUUUUUUUAUUGUUUUUACUUUUUACUAAUUUAAGUAUUUAUCAAAUUGUACGAUUUGAAAAUGGUCAAUUAUAUACUAUCAACGUGUUUAACAUAUAAGUAAAAUAAAUUGUUAUUAAUCUAUUUCAACCACUGGUAACUUUUGUACUUACUAAGUUAAAAUUAUUGUUAGGUUAAUGUUUAUACUUUAUACUGUGCAAUUUUUUCGACAUUGGUUAAUUUAAAAAUGUUUUUAAAUUCAGUGGAACCUAUCGUCUUGAAAAUUUUACCCACUGCUCUUGAAUGACAACUACGAUAAUUAAUGCUAUUUUGCUAAAAAGAGGAUAUUGCAGUUAAGGGAGUGGAGGACCACUCUUUAGAAAUGUUCCGACUGAGGAAAGCUAAUCGGAGGGUGGUCCGUGGUCCCUCGAUGCAUUUCAAAUUAGUGAUCAUCGGGCCAUCGCAAUAAAGUUUGUAUGCUUUGGACCAUUGUCUUGAUGGAUAAUCAAGAGAGAUGAAAGGUAAUAUCAUCACACAUCACACAAUACUCUGAUACAAGCCUUUUUUUUCCCUUAAAAGUCAAUGAAAAUUUCACAUUCUUUUCGAAAGCUCUUUCCAAGUCAGAUUUGGCAGAUGCUAUUGUGUGUAUAAUACAAUGCUAGACUUUUAAUGUUCUCAAAGCGUUAAAAAAUAAAAACUCCAGUUUUUGUUUGUUGGUCUUUAAUAAUUAGUCACUUAGUUUAGCGAAUUGAUCGUGACCUGUGAGUCUUGGUCAAAUAAAUAUCCCUCUUGUAAAUAACCAUUGACAACAAAAAAAGCUUAAACCAUAGCUGCUACCACUAUUUUUUCAAGUAGUUUGAUAAUGAUGCAAUCAUGUAAUGUAUAAUAUUCAUGAGGGUCUAGAUCAUAAUAAUAUGCCCGAGGGUCUAGAUCAUGAUUUAUUACAAUUUGCAGAGACCAAAUUACAAUUUGCAUAGUCAAAGCCUAUAUAUAUAUAUAUAUAUAUGUAUGUAUAUGUAUGUAUCAUUAUUUUUCAAAGUAAAACAUGUCUGCCGUAGUUGUGUAACAUAGUCAAGCUUUUUAAAUAGUUUUUUUUAUCUGAAUCAGUUGUACCUACAAUCUUCGCAGUUACACCCACUGGUCGAUAUUCAAUUAAAAAAACAAUUGAUGCUGGAUAUAUUGAAAUAAUUAAACACACUUGAUGAAAGACUUAGUCAUAGACACGAUUCUAAGAUGAAAUUGUGAUUAUCAUCUCUACAAAGCAUUAAAAAAACACACCCAAAAGCUUAAAAUAAAUGUUAAAAAGCACUCUUGAAACUCUCAACCGUUAUGUUGUUGAACCCGAAGUUACUGUCUGGACUCAGCACCACGUAGUGUACCAAUCCAAGCAGGUGGCUGCAUCCCGGUCUGCUCAUAAACCGUAUCAAGAACCGGUGGCAACAUCUUGUAGAGUCCAGCAAUUUCCUUCAUACCACCACUACCCAUCCCCUGAUCAACACCAGCACCACCACCUUGG
rnacentral:lncRNA from 1 species